GACGAACGCUGGCGGCGUGCUUAACACAUGCAAGUCGAGCGGUAAGGCUCCUUCGGGAGUACACGAGCGGCGAACGGGUGAGUAACACGUGAGCAAUCUGCCCUUCACUUUGGGAUAAGCGCCGGAAACGGCGUCUAAUACCGAAUACGACCACUUCCGGCAUCGGAUGGUGGUGGAAAGUUCCGGCGGUGAAGGAUGAGCUCGCGGCCUAUCAGCCUGUUGGUGAGGUAAUGGCUCACCAAGGCUUCGACGGGUAGCCGGCCUGAGAGGGUGACCGGCCACACUGGGACUGAGACACGGCCCAGACUCCUACGGGAGGCAGCAGUGGGGAAUAUUGGACAAUGGGCGAAAGCCUGAUCCAGCAACGCCGCGUGAGGGAUGACGGCCUUCGGGUUGUAAACCUCUUUCAGCAGGGACGAAGCGCAAGUGACGGUACCUGCAGAAGAAGCACCGGCCAACUACGUGCCAGCCGCCGCAGUAAAAC
rnacentral:rRNA from 1 species